rnacentral:misc_RNA from 1 species
UCCGAGUUGACCCCGGCAGUCUCCUGCGAGUCCCCGCCAUUACGCGCUGGCAACACAGGACAAGGGUUGCGCUCGUUGCGGGACUUAACCCAACAUCUCACGACACGAGCUGACGACAGCCAUGCACCACCUGUAUACCGACCACAAGGGGGGCCGUAUCUCUACGGCUUUCCGGUAUAUGUCAAACCCAGGUAAGGUGGGGAUGACGUAAGUGACCUUUGC